rnacentral:lncRNA from 1 species
CAUGGGUAUGCAUAUAUUACUGUAGUAUGUUGACUUUAAUUCAUCAUAACAAAUACCAAGAUGUGGUAUACCUGGGUCAUACGGUGGUUCUACAUCUAGUCUUUUGAGGAACCUCCAUACUGUCUUCUAUAGUGGUUGUACUAAUUAAUUUACAAUCUCACCAGCAGUGUAAAAGUGUUCCUUUUCUCCACAUCCUCUCCAGCUUUUAUUUGUAUUCUUGAUGACUGCCAUUAUGACUAGUGUGAGAUGAAAUCUCAGUGUAGUUUUGAUUUGCAUUUCUGUAAUUGCUUGUGAUAUUGAACAUUUUUUCAUAUAUUUGUUAGCCAUUUGUAUUUCUUUUUUUGAGAAGAAGAGUAUUAUGGUAAUCUAGAAGAAAUCCUGGAACAGAAAACAACUAGGGAAUUAGGGAAAAUGUUUAAUUCAUUCUCCCAUUGAUUAAUUGGAUUAUUUGAUUUUGGUGUAAAGUUUUUUGUGUUUUCCUUAAUUUUAUUUAUUAAUUUAUUUUUAUUCUAAUUAGUUAUACAUGACAGCAGAAUACCUUUUGCCAUAUUGGACACAAAUGGAGCACAACUUCUCAUUCCUCUGGCUGUACAUGGUUCAGAGUCACUCCAGUAGUGUAAUUGUACAUUUAUAUAGGGUUAUAAUAUCCAUCUCAUUCUACUGUCCUUCCCAUCCCUGCAGCUUAAUUUUAUUUAUUUUUUAUUGGUGCUGAUAAUCGAACCCAGUGCCUCAAAUGUGCUAGGGGAGUGCUCUAUCACUGAACCACAACCCCAGCCCAGGUGUAAACUUUUUUGAAUUCUUUAUAUAUUCUAGAUAUUAAUCCUCUGUCAGCAGAGUAGCUAGUAAAGAUUUUCUCCCAUUCUAUGGUUCUCUCUUUACAUUCCUGUUUCCUUUACAGCUUUUUAAUUUGAUGCCUUCCUAUUUAUUGAGUAAGCUUUUUAUAUUUUAGAAUAGUUUCUCGAUUUACAGAAAAUUUACAACAGUAGUCCAGAGUUCACUCAGUUUUUC